rfam:Micromonospora echinospora strain DSM 43816 genome assembly, chromosome: I
ACCGGUCUCCGGUAGUGGCCCCCGGGAUACCCGGCGUUGAAUCCGCCGGCCCCCGGGCGCUUCGAUCGAAGACCGGC